rnacentral:lncRNA from 10 species
AGGAGUCUUUCCACCGCUUCAGAACAUGCCUGGUGACCUCAUUUAUGUGAACACUUUAGCCAGAACAAAACUCAGCAAGCCACUGAUGAAUCCAGUGAAAAGGAGAGACCUACUGAGCCUUUGGGAAUGUAUGAUGCCUUGGAUUGGUCCAGGGUUCUGAAGCCUAAGUCACUCAUUGUACGCAGGAAGCCGAAUCUGCUGUGUGGAUGAGGUCUCCUGCUGCUCUGGGACCGUGCUUCACUCCAAGCCUCAGAGGUGGACACCUUUGAUACCAGGGUGACCAAUCCCUGGUCCUGGUCCUACCUACAUGAGAGUGAUAGAGCUCUGGGCUGGGGUACAAUUGAGUGACACACUCUUCCAAGUCCUCUUCCUCCACCACAGAGCACAAUUUCAUAAAGGUUUUGGCUUGCAUUAUAGAUGAGGACUUUGGAUAUUGGCAAGGUUAAGUAACGUGCACAGUCCACACUCACCAUUGGUAAAGGCAGGACUCAGACCUUGGUCUGAGGGACUUCACACAUAUUCCUAACCAUGACACCAGCCACCUUUCAUCCACUUCAGCUGACAUCUGUCUGGCUUGAGGCCGAAAGAGGGGACACCUUGCAGUCUGCCCGAGCAGCAGCCAUUUGAACCUCCCCCUGGUGCCCUGAGGCUCAAGAACACUUGGAGAGAUAGAAGUGGGAGUUGGCUUGAUUCAUGAAGGAGGAGAGUGAUGGCUUACAAGAUGAGUUGUUCGAGUUUCAAUUGGAGAGAUAAUGCCAUUUAAGAUGAGGAUAACUCCGUGAUGCCUCAGAUGAUUUCAUUGCAGCCUUUGCCUAGACUGCAACAUGGCCAAUAAUGCCACGCCUUGCAUAUGGGUGGCCGUUGUGGCACUUCAGACAUUCUCUAGUAACAGGACCUCGAUGCUGAGAGACAAAAUCUGCAUCCUCACCUGUCAGAUAAGCCCAAAGAGUGAGUGUGGUCACCAGACCAUGCUCUACACGUUAGAACAAAGGACCCCAGAAGCACAUCUGCCCCAGACUCAACCAGAUGGGCUUUGCUGUCCAGACAACAUAGGUGGAGACCUCACAUUUCGAGGGAACGUGGAACACGGAACACUUCAGAUUUUCAACGAUGCUGGAUUUGAGCUGUUCACUUGAAAAUAAAGUCUGUUGCAUCACAAGUGCUGGUUGGCAUCGCUGUCCUCCUAUCAGUGGAUUAAGAAAAGGCACAGCGAAAAACUAGUUUAAAAUCACCAGUCGGAUAUUUUACAGGCGAGGUCCAGCACGAUCACUCACACGGCUGCUGCUAGGCUGGCUCUGCCCGUUAUUCUUCCAUCCUGGCACCAUGCUUCUAAUUUAUCCUGAAUACAUGGAGACUUGAGCACUGAUGGGAUAGAUAAAAAAAACGACAGCAAUCUUCUCUCCAAAAAAGCAACAUAAGACUAGAUAAAAUGGUCAAAAAUAAUCAUUUCAGAAUGAUUCUAGAAAAUGACCAAAGGCAGACAACAAAUUGAGAUGUGUGUUUCGUUUUUUUUGAAUCUACUGGGGCUUGGAAGGAACAGUGGGAGACUAUGGAAUUUUAGCUCAGGGCAGCGUGGUAUAGUUUCACAAUGGAAUACUACUCAGAAAUAAAAGCGAUAAACUGUUGAUACAUGCAACAAUGUGGAUGAAUCUUAAGAUAAUAAUGCUGAGUCAAAGAAGCCAGACAAAAGUAUGUAUAGUGUGAUUCGAAUUAUAUGAAAUUCUACAAAAUAUACACUAAUCUAUAAUGACAGAAAUAGAUCAGGGGUUGCCUGGGGAACUGGGGUGGAGGGUGUGCCAAGAGAGGCAGGAAAGAAGGAUUAUGAAGGGGCAGGAGGAGAGCUUUGGGGAUGGGGAUGUAUUCAUUAUCUUGAUUGUGAUGAUAAAUUCUCCGGUGUACACAUAUAGCAAAAUUUAUCAAAUUAUACACUUUAAACCAUGUGCAGUUUUUGUAUAUGGAUUGUACCAAAAUAAAGUUUUUUAAAGGGAUGCUAAUCAAUGGAUUAUACUACCUGUAGCUUGCCUACACCUCAUCUCCUUCCUCAAAACAGUUAACCUACAGGUACCUAGUAGCUAUUCCAAAACUGCUCCUCGAACUUGUGAAUGAGUAAGAGAAUGAACAAACGCACCCACUUAUCAACCUAUUCUAUGUCCU